GCCAGGUGUGGUGCCUUGCACCUGUAGUCCCAGCUACUUGGGGGGCUGAGGUGGGAGGAUCACUUGAGCCCAGGAAGUCGGGGCUGCAGUGAGCUGAGAUGGUAAGGCUGCACUCCAGCCUGGGUAACAGAGUGAGACCCUGUCUCAA
rnacentral:SRP_RNA from 1 species